UACGUAGGGGGCAAGCGUUGUCCGGAAUCAUUGGGCGUAAAGCGCGUGUAGGCGGCCCGAUAAGUCCGCUGUGAAAGUCCAGGGCUUAACCGGGAGGGUGCGGCGAAUACUGAGAUGCUGGAGUGCGGGAGAGGUAAGCGGAAUUCCUGGUGUAGCGGUGAAAUGCGUAGAUAUCAGGAGGAACACCUGCGGUGUAGACGGCUUACUGGACCGUAACUGACGCUGAGGCACGAAAGCGUGGGUAGCAAACAGG
rnacentral:rRNA from 1 species